AUGAAGCUGGAAUCGCUAGUAAUCGCGAAUCAGAAUGUCGCGGUGAAUACGUUCCCGGGUCUUGUACACACCGCCCGUCACACCAUGGGAGAUGGAUAUGCCCAAAGUCAGUGACCUAACCGCAAGGGAGGAGCUGCCUAAGGUGGAGCCAUUAACUGGGGUGAAGUCGUAACAAGGUAAC
rnacentral:rRNA from 1 species